CAGCUCCCCCCACGCGCUCAAAUUGGGCAGGGAAGUUAUGGUCUCUGUGUGCAAGACAGAGAGACAGACCACGCACCCACACUCCGCAAAUCCGCCAAGUGGCCGGGACGUCAAAACGGCAGAGCAAUCACAAGGCACUGGAGGAGCGGGGGCUGGAGGGGCCACAUUGUUUGCGCCCCCGGAUUUUGCUGCAUUGUCAUGGUCCGGGAAUGUAGGGGUAGAAGGAAGCGCACCUCCAGCCAAAAAUGGACCGGACGCGUUUUUCCCAGCGGCUUCCUCCCUGCCUGUGUGCAGGUCGCAAUACGAAUGUACACAGCAAAUAUGUAUUCAGUGCUGCCAAGCAGGAUGUGACACAGUGGGAUAGGACCAGAUACCUGAAAGCGCCCUUGGGUUGUAUUGAUGUACGUUGAUGGAACCUCACCCCACUGAUGUGCAACCAGAGGCCGGAUCACAGGCACCAUCUAUGAGGCCAAUUGACAUUCUCCUGAGAUUGGAUUAAGCCGGACUCGGACUUUUGCCAUCACCAAUAUCUCUUGCCGAGCAGCUGUGGGCAGAGGAUGGGAGAAGAGGCGCUGAGGUGUACGUAACCGGCAGUGAGCUCCUGCAUCCGGGCCAGGACCCUGAACUGACCCCAGGUACAGGUUGGCCAGAUGGAUACCGGCUAAAAAUCUGAGGCUACAAGGAUGAAUCCUUAGACUUUGUCCUCGAAGUCUUAAUCAGGGGCAGAAAGAGGAACGCACCUGACCAACCUGAACGCAGUAUUGAUGGUGCCAAGGUCAAGAUGGGGAAGCUCAGCAGACAGCCUGGGAGCUGAGGAAUGAAGGCCAGUGGGGCUCUGCCAGGCUUACUGAACCGAGGUGAGUAGGAAGGCACGGAAACACAUCUGAGUGUGGCACGUGCCAGGAAGACAGGCUGCUGUGUGUGCCUGGUUGUAAGGCACUUGUGGGAAGGGACCAGAGAGAUAAACCUGAGAAGACAGGCAGAACUCUGGAAAUAAAAGGCUUUGGAUGAUGAGCUAAGAAGUCCGGAAUUCAUCCCUAGACAGCAGUGAUUCUCAGCCAUGUCAAAUCCAGUGACCCUUUUUAUAAUAAAUACUGUGUAAUGCCUCCUAUCUAGUGUAUUCCGAAAUGAAAUUUGUAUUACAAUAACUUACCGAAAAGCAUAAUGAAAGAUUACAUAAAAAGGGAAAAUCACUGUAAUGCGCUAGCUAUGACACGAAGGAGACCGUAAAAGGAAAAUGCAUUUUCAAUAUGUAAAUGCCUGAACCUCACUAAAAUAGCAGACGUAAUGCAGUGGCUGGAGGUUUGUACCUAUACGUGGAAUCACCAAGGACAUGGCAGCUACAAAUAUACAUGAUACAGGGGCGGGUUCUAGUG